UGCUUGCACUGGGGAUUAGUGGCGAACGGGUGAGUAACACGUGAGUAACCUGCCCUUAACUCUGGGAUAAGCCUUGGAAACGAGGUCUAAUACUGGAUAUUGACUUUUCCUCGCAUGGGGAUUGGUUGAAAGAUUUAUUGGUUUUGGAUGGACUCGCGGCCUAUCAGCUUGUUGGUGAGGUAAUGGCUCACCAAGGCGACGACGGGUAGCCGGCCUGAGAGGGUGACCGGCCACACUGGGACUGAGACACGGCCCAGACUCCUACGGGAGGCAGCAGUGGGGAAUAUUGCACAAUGGGCGAAAGCCUGAUGCAGCGACGCCGCGUGAGGGAUGACGGCCUUCGGGUUGUAAACCUCUUUCAGUAGGGAACAAGGCCAGACGUUGUCUGGUUGAGGGUACUUGCAGAAGAAGCGCCGGCUAACUACGUGCCAGCAGCCGCGGUAAUACGUAGGGCGCAAGCGUUAUCCGGAAUUAUUGGGCGUAAAGAGCUCGUAGGCGGUUUGUCGCGUCUGCCGUGAAAGUCCGGGGCUCAACUCCGGAUCUGCGGUGGGUACGGGCAGACUAGAGUGAUGUAGGGGAGACUGGAAUUCCUGGUGUAGCGGUGAAAUGCGCAGAUAUCAGGAGGAACACCGAUGGCGAAGGCAGGUCUCUGGGCAUUAACUGACGCUGAGGAGCGAAAGCAUGGGGAGCGAACAGGAUUAGAUACCCUGGUAGUCCAUGCCGUAAACGUUGGGCACUAGGUGUGGGGGACAUUCCACGUUUUCCGCGCCGUAGCUAACGCAUUAAGUGCCCCGCCUGG
rnacentral:rRNA from 1 species